rnacentral:tRNA from 1 species
GUUCCUUUAGCUCAGGGGUAGAGCAACCGGCUCAUAACCGGUCGGUCGCUGGUUCAAAGCCAGCAAGGGACACCA